rnacentral:rRNA from 2 species
UGGAGUGAUUUGUCUGCCUAAUCGCGAUAACGAACGAGACCUUAACCUGCUAAAUAGCCCGCGCUGCUUUGGCAGCGUGCUGGCUUCUUAGAGGGACUAUCGGCUCAAGCCGAUGGAAGUUUGAGGCAA